ACAGGAUUCCCCUAGUAACGGCGAGUGAAGCGGGAAGAGCUCAAAUUUGUAAUCUGACACUUUCAGUGUCCGAGUUGUAAUCUCGAGAAGUGUUUUCCGCGCUGGACCGCAUACAAGUCUGUUGGAAUACAGCGUCAUAGUGGUGAGAACCCCGUAACUGAUGCGGAUGCCCAGUGCUUUGUGAUACACUUUCGAAGAGUCGAGUUGUUUGGGAAUGCAGCUCAAAUUGGGUGGUAAAUUCCAUCUAAAGCUAAAUAUUGGCGAGAGACCGAUAGCGAACAAGUACCGUGAGGGAAAGAUGAAAAGCACUUUGGAAAGAGAGUUAACAGUACGUGAAAUUGUUGGAAGGGAAACGCUUGAAGUCAGACUUGCUAUUUGGAUUUAUUCAAUUCGCAGGCCAGCAUCAGUUUUCGGGGGUGGAAAAGGGUUUGGAGAAGGUAGCAACUCCGGUUGUGUUAUAGCUCCUUGCUGGAUUCAUCUUUGGGGACUGAGGAACGCAGCACGCUUUUUGCAAGGCUUUCGAGCUUUUCGUGCUUAGGAUGCUGGUGGAAUGGCUUUAAACGACCCGUCUG
rnacentral:rRNA from 1 species